rnacentral:tRNA from 1 species
GGGGAUUAAGCUCAGUGGUAGAGCGCUUGCCUAGCAAGCACAAGGCCCUGGGUUCGGUCCCCAGCUCCG